CUCCAUAGAUGUCCAAGAGUUGAACAUAUCUUUUCCUCCAUAGAUAUCCAAGAGUUGGAUAUGAUUUCUUCUUCAUAAUCAGUCCAAGAGUUGGACGGAAAAAGAAAAGAAAAGAGAUGUGUCUCUCGUUCUUCUUUUCUUUAGAUCUUCUUCUUUCUCUUAAAAAGUGAAAGAAAAAAGAAAUUAGAUUAGAUCUAAUUUUUUGAUUCUCCUAUAGAUCUUUUUGAUUUUUUUGAGAAUAGAAUCAAAAAAGAUCAAAGAUUCAAUAAUUCAAAGAGCGAUCUCUAUAAAGGAGCUAGUAUCCCAAUGAGAUCAAAAUUUUCUUAUCAGAUCAGUCUUGUGUAGAUACC
rnacentral:lncRNA from 1 species